AUUGAACGCUGGCGGCAGGCUUAACACAUGCAAGUCGAGCGGGGUGAUGGUGCUUGCACUAUCACUUAGCGGCGGACGGGUGAGUAAUGCUUAGGAAUCUGCCUAUUAGUGGGGGACAACAUCUCGAAAGGGAUGCUAAUACCGCAUACGUCCUACGGGAGAAAGAAAGGGAUCCCUUGUGACCUUGCGCUAAUAGAUGAGCCUAAGUCGGAUUAGCUAGUUGGUGGGGUAAAGGCCUACCAAGGCGACGAUCUGUAGCGGGUCUGAGAGGAUGAUCCGCCACACUGGGACUGAGACACGGCCCAGACUCCUACGGGAGGCAGCAGUGGGGAAUAUUGGACAAUGGGGGGAACCCUGAUCCAGCCAUGCCGCGUGUGUGAAGAAGGCCUUAUGGUUGUAAAGCACUUUAAGCGAGGAGGAGGCUCUUUUGGUUAAUACCCAAGAUGAGUGGACGUUACUCGCAGAAUAAGCACCGGCUAACUCUGUGCCAGCCGCCGCCGUAA
rnacentral:rRNA from 1 species